rnacentral:rRNA from 1 species
ACAGAGGGGGCAAGCGUUAUUCGGAAUUAUUGGGCGUAAAGGGCGCGUAGGCGGCUGCGCAAGUCUCGGGUGAAAUCCCUCGGCUCAACCGAGGAACUGCCCUGGAAACUGCGCGGCUCGAGGCCGGGAGAGGAUGGUGGAAUUCCCAGUGUAGCGGUGAAAUGCGUAGAUAUUGGGAGGAACACCGGUGGCGAAGGCGGCCAUCUGGACCGGUCCUGACGCUGAGGCGCGAAAGCGUGGGGAGCAAACAGGA